ensembl:lncRNA
AUGGCCACUUGGCCAGGCACAGCCCACACCCUGGCAUCCUAUCUCCCUGCUGGACACUUGGAGCUGCUCCAGGCAAGUCCCCAGGGCCACACGGGCUAUAUUCGGUGGUGGCUCCCAGUGGUGGUGGCUCCCAGUCUCAGCCUGGUGGAGACAACAGCAACCAGCAGGCCCUAUGGUGGCCGCUUUCUGCUCUUGGCUUCCAGAACCUUCUCUCCUGCUUUUCCUCACUGGCCGCUGUGCCUUCUCCUCUUCUGGCUCCUCCCCAGCCCCUGCAUCCACACGCAGCCUGGCGAGUUCCUGCACCCCCGCCCCGGGCGCAGCUCGCAGCGUCUCAAAGGCCCCUCGGAGGGGAUCUUCCUGCAGCUUCAUCUCCUUGGAGGUGUUCCGGGCCCCUUCUCUCUCUCCCCGCCUCAUCCCUGCCCCACGCCAGCCACCUCCUCCUCCCCUGAACCCCGACUCCCGACCCUGCCUCCUCCCCACCCCCCCACUGGGCUGCACCUGCUCAUCCCAGCAAAGCCCCCCACACUGCAGCCCCUCUCGGCCAGCCCCGCCCUCCACCCACUUGGGGCUCCCACCGGCCGCCUGGCCCUUCUCCCGACACUGUCGCCAGUGGUCAGGAGGUUUGCUUCCUCCUGCGGCAUCACGCUGACCCCACGUGUGGUGCAACAUGUCUGGCCAGUGUCUGGUGUCCCCUUCCCUCAACUGUCCCCAAGGGCACUGUCCAUGCCCAUCUCACUGCAUUCGUCACCCUGCUGUCCCCCCAGGACCUUCUGCUCCCAGAGGAUGGGUGUCUGUCCUACUCAUCCCGCCCACCCUGUGCCCACAGGGCUGCCCGGCCCGGGGAGGGGGCACACGAACACCUCCCCGAGGGCUCACCGUCCUGGUGGGUGUGGGGCAGCUUGCAACUCUCCCCGGACCAGGACCCAGCUGGGCAGUCGCCGUGGAGUCUUCGGAGCCUGGACUAGAGCAGAGCCUCCAAGGACACUCCCGAGGGGACCCCCCAUCCCAGACCCAGCCCCAUGGAGGAAGAUCAGUUGGUCCCUCCCAGACCCCCAGCCUCCUUCUGUGCCCUUCGCCAGGCCCUCCUUUGAAAAGCACCCCCACCCCAGAGACCCAGGGCAGACCUUGCAUGACUCGCUGGGGCCCAGAGGGGCCCACUUCCAGGCAGCCAGCGCCUGGACAUCCACCUUCCUGGCAUUUGGGGUUCCCCGCAGUCUCCCACAACCUGCAGACCGCCCCCCGCCCCCAGGCUGUGCACCCUCAGUUCCAGCCACGCCUGCAGAAUCCUCUGGCCCGGGCUGCUGGGGGCCCUGCCCAGGCGCCCUUCCUGCAGGGACUCUGUCUCCAAGACCCUCGGCGGCCCCCCUGCUGCCAUGGAGGCCCCGGAGCUCCAGGCCAGGCCCCACGCCCUCCGCGGUUCUCCCCUCAGCCAGAGGCCAGCAGGGACCAAGGCCUCGGCUUUCUGCGGUGGCGGUGGCAGGAGGGGACAGAGAGGGGUUACGCUGCCAGCACCGUCUGCCCCAUCCCGCUCUCUGCUCUGUCCCUGCGGGAGAGACCACGGCACUGUGA